rnacentral:rRNA from 1 species
UACGGGGGGGGCAAGCGUUGUUCGGAAUUACUGGGCGUAAAGGGUUCGUAGGUGGCCUGCUAAGUCACACGUGAAAUCCCUCAGCUUAACUGGGGAACUGCGUGUGAGACUGGCGGGCUUGAGUGCAGGAGAGGAACGCGGAAUUCCAGGUGUAGCGGUGAAAUGCGUAGAUAUCUGGAGGAACACCGGUGGCGAAGGCGGCGUUCUGGACUGCUACUGACACUGAGGAACGAAAGCCAGGGAGCAAGCGGG